UUGUCUCCGUCAGAUGGUGCAUCCGGCAGUGAUACAACAGCACUAUCAAGCGCAAACACAGGAGUACCUCUGCCUCAGUCCUGGGUGAAUCGGGCCCAGUGCACUUAAUGGCGGCAGCUACAAACGUGCAUCACAUGCACGAAGCCCGUCAUCAUGCACCGCAUAUAUUCCAAAGCAUAUAGCACAAAUCUAUGGCAGUACUGUACCACUAAAGCCACUCUUGACUAUAUCCUAUGGGCUUGUCCAGCAUUAUUCUGCAAUUCUGGGGUUGCGGCCUCCAAUGAAGAGCUUCGGGUGCAUUGAUGGACUGCGCUGCUCAGUUAUAUCCUGGACUAGCAACUCUGGGAGUUCCAGUAGGCCGAGGCAGCUGCCUGUAGUCAUGGUUUCUCUGUUAUUUCCUAGAUGGAAGCCCAGCUCAGCAGUCUGCUGGAAAUUAUCAAAGUGAACCACUUUUUCAUUUAUCAACUGAUGAGAAAAGCAGGAAGAACAUUUCAAUAAGCACAAAGCUUUUUCCAGCAACAGAACGAUGCAAGCCUCACAUCUCGGUGGUAAAACAUCGUACACCGAAUACCUAUUCACGGCCGAGGGCACGAAAAUCCACCGAAAGAGAGAACCAUUCUAUCAGGAAUGCCACUUCAUCGACUGUAGAGUUGAGUUGCACUAAGGCCUGCUGCAAAUCAUUUCAUGUGAACAAUGUGGCAUGAAAACAUAAUGCAUUUAUUAAACUGCGAAAUAAACAUAUACAGUGAGGAAAC